rnacentral:lncRNA from 13 species
UUAUUUUGAAAGCUUCAAGGAGGACAAACUCUUUGGUGAUUGAUGUUUAUAGCUGGCUUGGUAUGUACUCAAGGCCUUCUGCAUAAAGGUGGUUGAUCUUAAUCAGCCCUGCCUUCUCCAUUCCAGAAUGCUCCAGGUAAUAUUCUUUGGAGGAAUUCAGUAUGUGAACAAUGGUCAGUUUUUAUCGAUGUGAUAAUUUUCUGCCAUUAUGAAGCAAUGUCUAUCGACCUUUGGGUCUCACAGAUGUGAGAUCAUGGAGCAUUCAGCACAUAGUAGGAGCCAAAUGUUUAUAUGACCGAGAUAUUCAAAUUAUGUAGAAUAAGACAAAUAAAAGAUGGACAACUGGAUCA